AAAGGGGAAAAGCACCUACAUUCAAGAUGAACAGAGAUGGAGGACUCCGCAAUGAAGCAUGAUCACUGAGAUCAGCAGAAACUGAAUAACUAUGUGGAGCAGUGGAGAAGGUUCCGGAAUGUUUCGAUUCAAGAUGGAACAUUGACAGGUGGAUUCUGGACCACUCCUUAAGGUCCGUAUGGCACAGGAACGCUUGAAAAUGCAAGAACGGCUCCCUGUAAAGAUUGACUUUGCCUCCCCUGAUAAAUUUUUCUG